rnacentral:sRNA from 1 species
GCUGGGUGUAGCAGUGCACGCCUGUAAUCCCAGUGGCUUGGGAGGCUGAGGCAGGAGAAUUGAGAGUUCAAAGCCAGCCUCAGCAAAAGCAAGACACUAAGCAACUCAGUGAGACCCUGUCUCUAAAUAAAAUACAAAAUAGGGCUGGGGAUGUGGCUCAGUGGUCGAGUGCCCCUGAGUUCAAUCCCCNCAUCUCUAAAUUGCUGAGGCUGGCUUUGAACUCAAGAUCCUCCGCCUCAG